CUGCUGGCAGAGGUGUCCCAGGACCUGACGGCGGCCCAGGGCGCGACAGACAACGUGAGGACAGCUGCCAGCAACGUCCUGGUGGCUCUGGCCCGCUCGCACUUCAGCUUGGUGAUGGCCGAGCUCCAGGGCCACCUGAAGGCCGUGGCGGAGAUGUCCAAGGAGUUUGCGCUCAUCACCCUGAGCAAGCUGUUCAGCAGCUAUGCUCCGCAGUGCAUCACCUUCAUGUGGCUGACACUGGCCGGCCUGCGCUGUGUGGCCGGCCAGGUGAGGAGCGGCCGCACCCUGCGCGUCGCUUGUGCUGGUGAGUGCCGGCC